ACGAACGCUGGCGGCGUGCUUAACACAUGCAAGUCGAACGGAAAGGCCCUGCUUUUGUGGGGUGCUCGAGUGGCGAACGGGUGAGUAACACGUGAGUAACCUGCCCUUGACUUUGGGAUAACUUCAGGAAACUGGGGCUAAUACCGGAUAGGAGCUCCUGCUGCAUGGUGGGGGUUGGAAAGUUUCGGCGGUUGGGGACGGACUCGCGGCUUAUCAGCUUGUUGGUGGGGUAGUGGCUUACCAAGGCUUUGACGGGUAGCCGGCCUGAGAGGGUGACCGGCCACAUUGGGACUGAGAUACGGCCCAGACUCCUACGGGAGGCAGCAGUGGGGAAUAUUGCACGAUGGGCGGAAGCCUGAUGCAGCAACGCCGCGUGCGGGAUGACGGCCUUCGGGUUGUAAACCGCUUUCGCCUGUGACGAAGCGUGAGUGACGGUAAUGGGUAAAGAAGCACCGGCUAACUACGUG
rnacentral:rRNA from 1 species